CCUACGGGUGGCAGCAGUGAGGAAUAUUGGUCAAUGGGCGAGAGCCUGAACCAGCCAAGUCGCGUGAGGGAGUACUGCCCUAUGGGUUGUAAACCUCUUUUGUCGGGGAGCAAAAGCCGGACGUGUUCGGCUGUGAGAGUACCCGAAUAAAAAGCAUCGGCUAACUCCGUGCCAGCAGCCGCGGUAAUACGGAGGAUGCGAGCGUUAUCCGGAUUUAUUGGGUUUAAAGGGUGCGCAGGCGGAUUUUUAAGUCAGCGGUAAAAUCGUGGGGCUCAACCCCAUCCAGUCGUUGAAACUGGGGAUCUAGAGUGUGCGAGAGGUAUGCGGAAUGCGUGGUGUAGCGGUGAAAUGCAUAGAUAUCACGCAGAACCCCGAUUGCGAAGGCAGCAUACCGGUGCACAACUGACGCUCAGGCACGAAAGCGUGGGUAUCGAACAGGAUUAGAUACCCUAGUAGUC
rnacentral:rRNA from 1 species